CCUGAUCAUUGUCCUUGCUUGCAUCAUGUACAAGAUGAACCAGAGAAAGUGUCUGCAGUGCAGAGGAUCCGUCUCUCUGACACCAUGUCCAGCAGUCUCUUCUACAGAUGCAGGGAACCAAGAUGGAGACAGUCUCCAUUGCGUAGCUCUGAAUCUGAGCAACAAGAAGAACAGGUCUAGAAGACAGAGGUCACAUGGAGACUGUGACGUAGAAGUCCGUCACUGGCCGCGGGCAGCAUUUGGUUCUUUAACGCACACACAUAUUCAUCACUCCUCCCUGCGCCAUUAUACCAUAAGUUAACAAUGUGGGUCGACACACAAUUUAACUUCUGUCUUGGUGCAUGCAUUUCACACUUGUCAAUGUUCAUAUUUGAGAGAUACAAUAAUUAUUAUACUUAUCAAUGUUGUGGAUGAGCACAUUGUUUGUUUGUUCUGUUCCUCUCUCUCCAUCUCUGUAGCUUCUGGGUAUGCUGGAAAAGGACCCGAGCUAAGGGAAUUGGGUUGGCUUUAUAGUGCCU
ensembl:lncRNA